rnacentral:rRNA from 1 species
CCUACGGGAGGCUGCAGUGGGGAAUUUUGGGCAAUGGGCGAAAGCCUGACCCAGCAACGCCGCGUGAAGGACGAAAUCCCUUGGGAUGUAAACUUCGAAAUAAAGACUGGCGGUACCUGACGUAAGCCCCGGCUAACUACGUGCCAGCAGCCGCGGUAAUACGUAGGGGGCAAGCGUUGUUCGGAAUUACUGGGCGUAAAGGGCGCGUAGGCGGCACGGCAAGUCAGGAGUGAAAGGCCUGGGCUCAACCGAGGAACUGCUUUUGAGACUGCCGAGCUAGAGUGCAGAAGGGGCAACUGGAAUUCCCAGUGUAGCGGUGAAAUGCGUAGAUAUUGGGAAGAACACCUGAGGCGAAGGCGGGUUGCUGGGCUGAACUGACGCUGAGGCGCGAAAGCCAGGGGAGCAAACGGGAUUAGAUACCCUUGUAGUC